ACAGAGGCCAGGUCAGUAGACACUUGCAUUAAAAAUUUGCUGCCUAAUCCUUUUUUUUUUUUUUUGAAAAAAAAAGAAAAAAACCAGCAUCGGAAAACGUAGUUAGAUCUCUUCUACAUCCUGGAGCAUGCGUUUCUCUUCGUCUCUCUUUAGCCUUCGCUAGCAAUCAUCUCCUUCUUGAAAUAUGAUUUCCGUAUCUCUUUGGCUGCAAUCUCCCUUUGUCUCUUCGCCGAUCCACGCACAACAACAAAAGUGGCUAUAUUGGAGUCAAGGCCGAGAAUCAAAAAUUGCCAUUGCUCAGUGGUCGAUAGGGGUUAAAGAUGGUAGGUGAAUGGUGGAUGACGGUGCCGACUAUGAAUUUGUCCAUGGACUUCAGCGACAAUACAGAACGAGUGAAAUUCCAUGGUUCCUCCCAUUUUAACUUGAUUUCGUGUUGGGCUAAUCUCAUUAAGACUUUUGAUUUUUUUUCUUCAUCUAUUGUAAUUUGAUCACUAUUUUAAUAGGAAGAAGAAUCAAAACUUUUCUAAUGGCUUGUGAUUUCUUGUUGAUGGUAGAUCCCCAUUGCUGGAAAUAGUUUUCUAGGAGUAUAAUUGGACUUGACUUUGCUGGAUUUAUCAUUUAAGUUUAAGAUGCUGCAACGAUUAUUGGAUGGCUUAAUGUGA